AUACGGAGGAUGCAAGCGUUAUCCGGAUUUAUUGGGCGUAAAGCGCAUGUAGGCGGUUUGGUAAGUCGGUCGUGAAAAUGCGGUGCUUAACGCCGUAUGGCGAUCGAAACUGCCGGACUUGAGUGCAGGAGAGGAAAGGGGAACUCCCAGUGUAGCGGUGAAAUGCGUAGAUAUUGGGAAGAACACCGGUGGCGAAGGCGCCUUUCUGGACUGUGUCUGACGCUCAGAUGCGAAAGCCAGGGUAGCGAACGGGAUUAGAUCCCCCGGUAGUCCUGGCCGUAAACGAUGGGUACUAGGUGUGGGAGGUAUCGACUCCUUCCGUGCCGGAGUUAACGCAAUAAGUACCCGCCUGGGGAGUACGGCCGCAAGGCUUAAACUCAAAGGAAUUGACGGGG
rnacentral:rRNA from 1 species